UGCCCCAUGGCUGAGUUGGUUACAGCGUCCGACUGUUAUCGCCUGGCAGGAAAUCGGAAGGUCGUGAGUUCGAGCCUCACUGGGGCAG